rnacentral:rRNA from 1 species
CAGUAGCCGCGGGAAAACGAAGGGUGCAAGCGUUACUCGGAAUUACUGGGCGUAAAGCGUGCGUAGGUGGUGGUUUAAGUCCGUUGUGAAAGCCCUGGGCUCAACCUGGGAAUUGCAGUGGAUACUGGGUCACUAGAGUGUGGUAGAGGAUAGUGGAAUUUCCGGUGUAGCAGUGAAAUGCGUAGAGAUCGGAAGGAACAUCUGUGGCGAAGGCGACUAUCUGGGCCAACACUGACACUGAGGCACGAAAGCGUGGGGAGCAAACAGGAUUAGAUACCCCAGUAGUCCCUGUCUCUUAUAA